CCUACGGGUGGCAGCAGUGGGGAAUAGUGCACAAUGGGGGAAACCCUGAUGCAACGACGCCGCGUGAGUGAAGAAGGAUCUCGGUACGUAAAGCUCUAUCAGCAGGGAAGAAAAUGACGGUACCUGACUAAGAAGCCCCGGCUAACUACGUGCCAGCAGCCGCGGUAAUACGUAGGGGGCAAGCGUUAUCCGGAUUUACUGGGUGUAAAGGGAGCGUAGACGGCAGCACAAGUCUGGAGUGAAAUCCCGGGGCUUAACCCCGGAACUGCUUUGGAAACUGUGCGGCUGGAGUGCAGGAGGGGUAAGUGGAAUUCCUAGUGUAGCGGUGGCAUGCGUAGAUAUUAGGAGGAACAUCAGGGGCGAAGGCGACUUACUGGACUGUAACUGACACUGCGGCAC
rnacentral:rRNA from 1 species